rnacentral:rRNA from 1 species
GUGGGGGAUAUUGCACAAUGGGGGAAACCCUGAUGCAGCGACGCCGCGUGGAGGAAGAAGGUUUUCGGAUUGUAAACUCCUGUCGUUAGGGACGAUAAUGACGGUACCUAACAAGAAAGCACCGGCUAACUACGUGCCAGCAGCCGCGGUAAAACGUAGGGUGCAAGCGUUGUCCGGAAUUACUGGGUGUAAAGGGAGCGCAGGCGGACCGGCAAGUUGGAAGUGAAAACUAUGGGCUCAACCCAUAAAUUGCUUUCAAAACUGCUGGCCUUGAGUAGUGCAGAGGUAGGUGGAAUUCCCGGUGUAGCGGUGGAAUGCGUAGAUAUCGGGAGGAACACCAGUGGCGAAGGCGACCUACUGGGCACCAACUGACGCUGAGGCUCGAAAGCAUGGGUAGCAAACAGGA